GCUGGGGUCAGUGGGUGAGAGUCUCUGGCCUGUGCUAUGCCCAGAACAGACUAUAUCCCAGGGGUCCCUUCCGGCCUUGGAACAGCUGGGAACCUAUGAGUCUCCUGGCAAAACUGUGAUCCGUGGCUGUUCAAAACAAUCGUUUAGCGUUAAGCGCCCUGCUCCUCAAUGAAAAUUGCAACCUCUGCUUUUCCCAAAUGAACAGCUUUAGGAAGAUUGAUCUAUGGCCAACAUUUUCAAAUUUGGGGACCUAAAAUUAAUAAUAAUUAGGCACAUGAAUCCGACUGAAUUUCAAUGGGAUUUGGACAUCUAGCUUCUAUAAAGCUGCUUUCAAAGUGCCAAACUUAGCUCUCAUCUGGCACAACUGUAGGCCCCAGCCCCAUUUGGCGAAACUGAGGCACAGAGAGGAGAUGGGUCACACUGUCAAAAGCAUCUAAUCCUAUUAUCCAGAGGGACAGGUUUUUAAAGACAGAGGAGUGUGCGUGUCAGCUCCCUGUCUGGGUGGCAUGAAGAGUAGUUAAGAAACUGGUUGAAACUGACCCAGAUGAACAAGGGGGCCGGAGAGACAAUGCCAGCGGUGCCUGGAUUUCCCCCCUUCUCGCAGGGAAGCUGAGCAAAGACACACACCUGCCAGCUGGAGAACGAAGGACUGGGAAGGGGUGAGCUGGGGGGUGAGAGGUGACUUCUGGAUGCUCUCUCUCCUGGGAACUGACUACAGAGGUUCGACAGACACACAGACACAGCCUGGACAUGGGGUUCACUGCGGCUGGGCGGGGCCCGGGGCUGACCAGAACGGACGACGUUUUCACCUUCAUUUCUCUGUGCUAACCUAAGAGCUUCCUAGGCUGUGUCCAUGUGACUAAUAAACCCAGCUGUUUUGCA